rnacentral:tRNA from 1 species
UCCCUGGUGGUCCAGUGGCUAAGACUCCACGCUCCCAGUGCAGAGGGCCCAGGUUCGAUCCCUGGUCAGGGAA